GAAAGAGAUGGCUGGAAGUCAAGAAGGAGAGGAUCUCCUUGUAAGGAUGCCAGGCAAGAGCCUUGUUGACUUAGCAGGUGACAGUCUGGGGAAGUGGGGGAGGAGGGUGCGGAUGUCACACCCCUGUGAGCUUGAUUCCCAUUGGCUCUUGAGAUCCUUAAAAGGGUCCUGCAGUCUCAGCAGCAGCAUUCUCAGACCCUCAGAGGAUUCUGUGGUUACAGUCUCUCCUCAACCCAAGGCAUGAGACACACGACUCUCCUCCUCCUGGCAGCUCUGGUCGGGACCCUGGUCUUUGCCCAAAAUGCUUCCUCUGCACUUGCCGAGGGACCCUUGACCUCCUCAGCAACCCAGAAGAUUCUGACAGCACCUCCCAGCUCAGAAUUCAACCCACUGCAACUCGGGUUUGGUAAAGGUAUCUUGGUAGCCCAAGAAAUAAGAAAAAAAAUACGAGAAAGAAUUGAUGGAGGAAAGAAAUUCAUCGAAGGUGAGUGCAUACCAACUCAAAGUCUUGUGAAACUGAGAAGACUCACCACUUGCCAGGGGUGGGAGGUGGACCGGAUAUUGUCGCCUGCCCCCCACACCUGAGUCCUGGCACGGUCACCACGCC
rnacentral:lncRNA from 1 species